rnacentral:rRNA from 1 species
UACGUAGGGUGCGAGCGUUGUCCGGAAUUACUGGGCGUAAAGGGCGCGUAGGCGGAUAGUUCAGUCGGGGGUGAAAGCCCGGGGCUCAACCUCGGAACUGCCUUCGAUACUGGCUAUCUUGAGUACGGGAGAGGUGUGUGGAACUCCGAGUGUAGAGGUGAAAUUCGUAGAUAUUCGGAAGAACACCAGUGGCGAAAGGCGACACACUGGCCCGUUACUGACGCUGAGGCGCGAAAGCGUGGGGAGCAAAACAGG